GGAUUGCUUUGACAACCAGGAUGUUGGCUUAGAAGCAGCCAUCAUUUAAAGAAAGCGUAACAGCUCACUGGUCAAGCGAUCCUGCGCGGAAAAUGUAACGGGGCUCAAGCCAGACGCCGAAGGUAUGGGUGUGCACUCUGUGCACGCGGUAGCGGAGCGUUCCGUAAGCCUGCGAAGGUCAGCUGCGAGGCUGGCUGGAGGUAUCGGAAGUGAGAAUGCUGACAUGAGUAGCGAUAAAGAGUGUGAGAGACACUCUCGCCGAAAGCCCAAGGGUUCCUGCGUAAAGCUAAUCUGCGCAGGGUUAGUCGGCCCCUAAGGCGAGGCCGAAAGGCGUAGUCGAUGGGAACCAGGUUAAUAUUCCUGGACCAGCUGGAAGUGACGGAUCCCGUAGCUUGUCUGACCUUAUUGGAUUGGAAGGGCAGGGAAGGGGUCCCAGGAAAUAACUCCAGCGGAUACCGUA
rnacentral:rRNA from 1 species